UACGUAGGGGGCAAGCGUUGUCCGGAUUUAUUGGGCGUAAAGAGCGUGUAGGCGGCCAGGUAGGUCCGUUGUGAAAACUCGAGGCUCAACCUCGAGACGCCGAUGGAAACCAUCUGGCUAGAGUCCGGAAGAGGAGAGUGGAAUUCCCGGUGUAGCGGGGAAAUGCGCAGAUAUCGGGAAGAACACCCGUGGCUAAGGCGGCUCUCUAGUACGGUACUGACGCUGAGACGCGAAAGCGUGGGGAGCGAACAGG
rnacentral:rRNA from 1 species